UACGUAGGGCGCAAGCGUUGUCCGGAAUUAUUGGGCGUAAAGAGCUCGUAGGCGGUCUGUCGCGUCGGCUGUGAAAACCCGAGGCUCAACCUCGGGCCUGCAGUCGAUACGGGCAGACUAGAGUGCUGUAGGGGAGACUGGAAUUCCUGGUGUAGCGGUGAAAUGCGCAGAUAUCAGGAGGAACACCGGUGGCGAAGGCGGUCCGCUGGGGUGUUGCUGACGCUGAGGAGCGAAAGCGUGGGGAGCGAACAGG
rnacentral:rRNA from 1 species